GACUCCUACGGGAGGCAGCAGUGGGGAAUAUUGCACAAUGGGCGAAAGCCUGAUGCAGCGACGCCGCGUGAGGGAUGACGGCCUUCGGGUUGUAAACCUCUUUCAGCAGGGAAGAAGCGAGAGUGACGGUACCUGCAGAAGAAGCACCGGCUAACUACGUGCCAGCAGCCGCGGUAAUACGUAGGGUGCAAGCGUUGUCCGGAAUUAUUGGGCGUAAAGAGCUCGUAGGCGGCUUGUCGCGUCGGAUGUGAAAGCCCGGGGCUUAACCCCGGGUCUGCAUUCGAUACGGGCAGGCUAGAGUUCGGUAGGGGAGAUCGGAAUUCCUGGUGUAGCGGUGAAAUGCGCAGAUAUCAGGAGGAACACCGGUGGCGAAGGCGGAUCUCUGGGCCGAUACUGACGCUGAGGAGCGAAAGCAUGGGGAGCGAACAGGAUUAGAUACCCUGGUAGUCCAUGCCGUAAACGUUGGGAACUAGGUGUGGGCGACAUUCCACGUCGUCCGUGCCGCAGCUAACGCAUUAAGUUCCCCGCCUGGGGAGUACGGCCGCAAGGCUAAAACUCAAAGGAAUUGACGGGG
rnacentral:rRNA from 1 species